rnacentral:rRNA from 1 species
GAUGAACGCUGGCGGCGUGCCUAAUACAUGCCAGUCGAGCGAACAGACGAGGAGCUUGCUCCUCUGACGUUAGCGGCGGACGGGUGAGUAACACGUGGAUAACCUACCUAUAAGACUGGGAUAACUUCGGGAAACCGGAGCUAAUACCGGAUAAUAUAUUGAACCGCAUGGUUCAAUAGUGAAAGACGGUUUUGCUGUCACUUAUAGAUGGAUCCGCGCCGCAUUAGCUAGUUGGUAAGGUAACGGCUUACCAAGGCAACGAUGCGAAGCCGACCUGAGAGGGUGAUCGGCCACACUGGAACUGGGACACGGUCCAGACUCCUACGGGAGGAAGCAGUAGGGAAUCUUCCGCAAUGGGCGAAAGCCUGACGGAGCAACGCCGCGGGAGUGAUGAAGGUCUUCGGAUCGUAAAACUCUGUUAUUAGGGAAGAACAAAUGUGUAAGUAACUAUGCACGUCUUGACGGUACCUAAUCAGAAAGCCACGGCUAACUACGUG